rnacentral:lncRNA from 1 species
GGCGCAUAUAUGGAGCAUUAAAUAUAAAAAAUAAUAACUAAUUGUAUAGUUUGCAUAUAAUUUGCGAGACAAAUCUUUUGAGUUUAGUUAGUCAAUAAUUAGACAAUAUUUGUCAAAUACAAAUGAAAGUGCUACAAUAUCCAUUUUGCAAUUUUUUUUAACUAAACAAGGCCUCAUUGUAUUCUAAUUUAUUGGUCAUUUUAGGUUUGUAGAUACACAAUUUUAAUUAAGUAUCUAAAGACAUAUCAUAUUUUGUCAUGUAUUUAGGCAUAUAUGAUAUGCAAGUAAAAUGACCUAUAAUUUGUGACAGUGGAUUGUGGCUAACAAGUUAGAAGUGAGAAUCCAUCAAAAGGAACGAGGAAUCAACAAUAUCCAUUGCUUCCCAAACAUAAUAAUUCUAAUAUCCAUUGACCGCCCUUUGUUAGCCAAGCUAGAGACAACUGCUCAAUUUAGGGGAGAUGAGCCCAAUUAUGGCAUACUAUAGUGAAUUCGAUUUGAUAGCGGGGAAGUCCAUUUGAAUUAAUUUGCAACGAUGAGCUUGUCGGUGACUAUGAGUGAAGGGGUAGAGGAACACUGCCACAGAAGCUCAUUUGGAAACAGCAUAGAUCUAUUUUUGCCGCUAUGGUUCAUUUGAGGUCGAUUUCAUAGUUGCGCGAACGAUUUUGAGUGGCAUGCAUGGUCAAUUUGAGCUUGAAUUUGUAUGAUUCGGGUUUAUUUGGAGAUUGUGAGAGUUCUACUUCCCUUGACUAGGGUACAUUCAAAGAGAUGUUUGAUUGGCAUAAAGAUAAGAUUGAGAUAGUGAACGACACAUAUGACAAAGGUUCUAAAAAAAAUUGCCGAUGUCAUCUCAUUAUAUACAAAAGAACCUUACACAAGCUUGUGCAGAGAAAGUCACAACUGACAUUAUGGAUGAGAUUCGAGGUAGAAAUUAUUAGUGCUUAUUGAUGAGUCUAAAGAUGUAUCAAUAAAGGAUCAAAUGCUGUGUUUCUAAGGUUAGUACUCCACAAUUGCAAUUUUUUGCCUAGUUUUUUUUUUUUUUACAAUUAUGUCUACAAUUAUACUAACACAUAAAAAAAAUUUGGUGUGCAGGUUUGUGAAUGAUGAAGGGAAAGUGGUGUUAAGAUCUAGGCUUCGUCAUGUUCAAAGCCGUACAGCUGUUUGCAUUGAAAGAAGCUUUGGUAGUUAGUAUACUUUUAAGUCCUAAUUUGUCAGUCUCUUUGCUUUGUGGGUAAGUGUACAACAGAGCUUCUAAUAUGAAAGUUGAAUUUAUUGAGGGUGUAGAAAUUGAUUCGUGAUGAAAAUCAUUUUGCUUUCUAUGCGCCUUCUAAAUUUUUUGCUGGGAGUGAGUGGGGCGGUGAGGCGAGAAUGCGGCGUCGUCCUCUCCUCCGUCGUCCAUGCCUGGCGCGGUGGCGCAGGGAUAGAUCGAUCUCAUCUCCGGGCGUGGCAGAUUGCCGCGGUUGUAGUGUACGUAGGCUCCGGUCCGCUGCUGUAACACUCUAAAAUUUACUCCUUUUGAAAUAUAGAUAAAAUUAUUUAAUUUUGUAUUUUUGUGCUCAUGAAAAUAUAGGAAAAAUAAUAUUUUUUUUAUUAAAUUAAAAUUUAUUAUAAGGCAUAGCAAUAUUAUUAUGCAUACAUGCUGGUGCAUAUGUUUUGAAGUGAUGCUUGUUGCUCCUUUAUGUGUUGAUAGUAAGAAAAAUAUUUAAAAUACGUUUAGUAGAUCGAUCUUCCUUAUUUGGCACGUAUUUAUCUUUUAUCUACAACCAAAUUCCUUGUUUCUAAGCUCAAAUUUUGAUUAGGACCUUCCUAAAAUCUUUUCUUUGUCACUCAAAGCACUUCUUUUAGUUCCUCGUCCAUCAAGCAAUCUCUACAAACUUUUCGGAAAUUUUUCCAUCUUCUGUUCUCACUUUUCUCUGAGCAUGAUCUAAUUUUUAGAUGCUCUAAACAAUCUUAUCAUUAGCUCUAAAAACUUUAUUCGGGUUCCCCAUGUUCUAUAAUAUCUCUGAGAAUUUUUCCCAAAUUUUCGGAGCUUUCGGAGUAUUUUUCGUGGCUUAACUACUAAAUCUAAACUUUUCUAGAAUUAUUUUAUCAAUGAAAAUAAUUAAUUCUGAAAAUAAUAAAUCUCUUAUUAGUUUUCCAACGUCAAAGCCCAUAAUAAACCCCAAAAACCAUGUAGUUAUUUACUAAUAGGCUUUAAUAAUUAAUUAGGCCUAUUAGUAAAGAUGAAGGUUGCAAAUCAAUUAGUACCAUAUCGCUAGUUGACGUGGAGCUGUGGAGUUUCUCUCCCUAUAUAUUUGU